CAAACUGUGAUUGCUACGAUUGAAUGGCAUACGCAACUCGCGAAACGAAGGAUUUUGUCGUAAGUCUUUUACAAUUUUCAGGUUUUGUAAACGAUUUUCUACCUCCAAUACUUCCUUUUCUUGUUCUUCUGUAUAUUUGACUUGAUAGAUAUGCUUUUCCAUAACAAAAUUUCCAAACAUAUACCCAGCGGCCGCGCAAGUCCCUGACACACCGGCAUAAACGACUCCUUUCUUCAUCAAUG